UCGUAACCUGCGAAAGCAAAGCAACUCGCGAACACGUAGUUAACACUCGGGGAUCCAAGCGCGUCCUCCCCGGGGGRCGCCCUUUCUCCCCAAAGUCGGGG
rnacentral:rRNA from 1 species